rnacentral:rRNA from 1 species
UAAAAUUUAACGGAUCUAAAUAAUAUACCGAGACCUUGUCCAUAAAUAUUUUUAUGUACAAGUUACAUAGAAUACAUAUGGGGUAGCGGAACAUUGGGCAUAUCUCAGAUUUUUUCUUUUUAAGACUUAAGACUAGAUUACCCAAGUGAUAAUGCUGACAUGAGUAACGAUAAAGGGUUUAUACCCUCGCCUAAAGCUUAUGGAAUUUACUUAAAGUAACGGCCUCCUAAGUUUAAGUCUGCUAACUUGUAAUAACUAGUAUCUUGUUGUUGAUACAAGUAAGUAAACAUCCUAAAGGUAUAAACGAUGAGAAAAAAAUAGUUUUUUUUUUAACUAAAAACUUAGUUUUACACAGAAAAUAUAAGCCUAUAAGGUAAACAAUUUUAGAUAGGUUUUAUCUCUAUAAGGUACUAGAUAACUUAGUUUUAUACUAAUAUCUAAUUAUAUAAUUUUAGAUAUUAUAAAAAUAGCAUUUUGUAACAAACGGUGUUGAUGUAAUAUUGCUUAUCAUCAUCUUUUAGAUGAAGUGAAGUAAUUGUUAUAUAAAAAGCAAUCAAUAAGUAGUCAAAACAAAGUGAGAAAUGCUCUGGAAAAAUGCAAAACUUUGUCGUGAUUUAUAUCCGAGAUAGUUAUAUAUAAGGCGGAUCGUCCUCUUGUAUAUGCCUAUUAAGAGCUAUAUACGUG